ACGAACGCUGGCGGCGUGCCUAAUACAUGCAAGUAGAACGCACAGUUUAUACCGUAGCUUGCUACACCAUAGACUGUGAGUUGCGAACGGGUGAGUAACGCGUAGGUAACCUGCCUGGUAGCGGGGGAUAACUAUUGGAAACGAUAGCUAAUACCGCAUAAUAUUAAUUAUUUCAUGAUAAUUAAUUGAAAUGUGCAAUUGCACCACUACCAGAUGGACCUGCGUUGUAUUAUCUAGUAGGUGAGGUAACGGCUCACCUAGGCGACGAUACAUAGCCGACACGAGAGAGUGAUCGGCCACACUGGGACUGAGACACGGCCCAGACACCUACGGGAGGCAGCAGUAGGGAAUAUUCGGCACUGGACGAAAGUCUGACCGAGAAACACCGCGUGAGUGCAGAAGGUUUUCGGAUCGUAAAACUCUGUUGUAAGAGAAGAACGGGUGUGAGAGUGGAAAGUUCACACUGUGACGGUAUCUUACCAGAAAGGGACGGCUAAAUACCUG
rnacentral:rRNA from 1 species